rnacentral:rRNA from 1 species
GUCUACAGCCAUACCACCCCGAACGCACCACAGAUCUGCUGAUCUCGGAAGCUAAGCAGGGACAGGCCUGAUUAGUACUUGGAUGGGAGACCUCCUGGGAAUACCGCGUGCUGUAGGCU